rnacentral:tRNA from 2 species
CCGCCCAUAGCUCAGCUGGAUAGAGCACCAGGCUUCGAACCUGGGUGUCGGGAGUUCGAAUCUCUCUGGGCGGACCA